rnacentral:rRNA from 1 species
UACGUAGGGCGCAAGCGUUAUCCGGAAUUAUUGGGCGUAAAGAGCUCGUAGGCGGUUUGUCGCGUCUGCCGUGAAAGUCCGGGGCUCAACUUCGGAUCUGCGGUGGGUACGGGCAGACUAGAGUGAUGUAGGGGAGACUGGAAUUCCUGGUGUAGCGGUGAAAUGCGCAGAUAUCAGGAGGAACACCGAUGGCGAAGGCAGGUCUCGGGGCAUUAACUGACGCUGAGGAGCGAAAGCAUGGGGAGCGAACAGG